rnacentral:rRNA from 1 species
ACGAACGCUGCUGACGUGCCUAAUACAUGCAAGUCGAGCGGACCGAAGGGAGGCUUGCUCCUAUAGAGUAGCGGCGGGACGGGGGGAGUAUCACGUGGACAACCCUGCCCCUGCAGACUGGGAUAAAUUCGGGAAACCGGAGCUAAUACCGGAUAACAGCGAAAAUCUCAUGGUUUUCGGUUGAAAAGCGGCUUUUAGCUGUCACUGCAGGAUGGGCCCGCGGCGCAUUAGCUAGUUGGUGAGGUAACGGCUCUCCAAGGCGACGAUGCGUAGCCGACCUGAGAGGGUGACCGGCCACACUGGGACUGAGACACGGCCCAGACUCCUACGGGAGGCAGCAGUAGGGAAUCUUCCGCAAUGGACGAAAGUCUGACGGAGCAACGCCGCGUGAGCGAAGAAGGUCUUCGGAUCGUAAAGCUCUGUUGUCAGGGAAGAACAAGUACCGUUCGAACAGGGCGGUACCUUGACGGUACCUGACGAGGAAGCCACGGCUAACUACGUGCCAGCAGCCGCGGUAAUACGUAGGUGGCAAGCGUUGUCCGGAAUUAUUGGGCGUAAAGCGCGCGCAGGCGGUUCCUUAAGUCUGAUGUGAAAUCUCGCGGCUCAACCGCGAGCGGCCAUUGGAAACUGGGGAACUUGAGUGCAGGAGAGGGGAGCGGAAUUCCACGUGUAGCGGUGAAAUGCGUAGAGAUGUGGAGGAACACCAGUGGCGAAGGCGGCUCUCUGGUCUGUAACUGACGCUGAGGCGCG